ensembl:lncRNA
CACUGCCAAUUAGAAUGCAUUUGUAGUAGAAAUGCUAAGUCAGGGCUUGACCCAGUGAUUGAGCACCUGGUGGGAAGGCAGGGCCAACCCAGGAGAGCUCAGGUGUAAGGAAUACAGCUGAGGGACCAGAACGGGUGGAGCCAGGAUGCACUCCUUCCCAGACCUCAUUUAAGGGUUGGCAGUGAAGAUAAGUGUCCAGAACAACUGCAUACCCCAGGGGGCUUUGUGUUCAGAGAGGAGAUAUAACUUCUGGUAACAUCACCUGAUGUCCCUUUUUUCCUUCAGCUCUACUCCCUGCUGCUCGACCCAACUGCGUGUCUCACUUCAAAAUUAUGACUUGAGAUCUGGAUCCUGUUCCCAGCUUUGGUGUUGCAAUUUCCUGUUCCACCCAUUCCUUCCAAUAUGCAGGGCUAUUGGAAAAACACUUCAGACAGAAAUAUUUUAUCUUGCAUCUGGCUCAGCUGCACAAAGAUUCACAAGAGUAACAGGACUUUUGCAUAAUGAAAUGGAUGGGGAAAGCCAGGUGCCGGGAAGAAGGAUGCGAAGAUCUGAAGGUGAAUAUUCUGCUGGUGGUGACACUGAACUUAAAGCAAGGAGACUGGCUAAUGGAAAUGAUUAUGGAAGUGGAAGUGACAGCUGCUGAAGUGGAAGGGAAAACUGAAGAUUUAAAGUGCCGAAAAUAUUGUGCAGAAAGAUGGAGAAUUUCUGGGAGGAAUUUUGAAUCCUGGGCUGUGAUCUGAGCUGCUUUUGUUAAUGAAGAAAAUGUAAGGAGUUGCUUCCUAUUUCUUUAAUUCUCCUUUUUGUCUAUAACUUAGAUUUUAGCUUAGUUCUUUUUGUACGUAGAUAGUAGCCUGUUAGGAUAUAAUUUCCACUGGGAAAGAUGCUGUGCUGAGUUUCAAGCUGGAAAUGGGUUACCAAACUGGCUUUAUAAAAUGUAUUUAUAAAAUGGAUAGAGUCCUGAUGAUAUAAAUAGGCAUACGAUCGGUUUAAAUUAGUGAAACUUGUCAGUCGUUUGUACUUGAUCUGGUCCAGUGGGUCAUGUUUUUGAAAGUGUUUCCUUUCUGUGACCUUGCCACAGCACCUGAUGAGUAUUGCGUGAGUGUAUGCAUGUGUUAACUGGUAGGUGUGGGGAGGAACUGUGGAUUGAUGCCUGUGAAUGAAGUCUUCAGCUUGCACGAUGCUCUGCUGUCACAGCAGUUGCCCAGAAUACGUGCUUCAAGUUAGAGCGUGAGCUGUAUAAAUCUUUGCUAUUUUUAGUGUUUAUUUUGAAAAAUGCCAAAAGUUUUGCAUACGUGUGGGAAGUUAGAUUCAUGGCUACUGAACUUAGGUGGGAAAAGUUUGUUUUUGAUUAAAAAUAAUUACAUUUAAGCAAAACGAGCUCUAAGAGCAAUAAAUGUUGGGGUGGGAGAAAUAAAGGGAAAAGACUUUGUUCAGUAUGUUACCAAUUUCCUGUCAUAGAUCUGCUUGUGGCUUUUUUCAAUCUCAAAGAUCUCAUGCAUUAUUUGCUUUAUAUUUGUCUUGCAAAACUUUGUCCAAGACUUGCACAUAAUUUAGAAUGCAGAACUCUAUGCCUUCUGUAAAUCCUAUGGAUAUUGUGAAGCCAC